UACAACUUAACGGAAGCCAACUCGAGAAAUGUUCCCGAACUCAAAUUUGAAGAUAAGGCAGUGGAAGUUACUGCACUUGAAGGUGUAGAGAUGAAAAAUUUCACCACUGAAUUUCCCGAGGAUAAAAUCGAACUUGCUGAGGAUAAUCCUCAUAAUCUCGAGUUUAACCAGAGAGUAUUUGGAUACAGUCCUGAAAGAAGUACUGAUGUUGAUGUACCAUCCAAGAUCAAGGCAUGAUCUAAUGCCAGUGUGUAGUUAAAACCUCACACAGAUUCAUAUUGACCUUACAGAGAGACCUUUAAAGUGCUGAGGAUGUUAUAUAUUUUUUCUUUAAUUUUAUGGUUGACCUCGAGUUGAUAGUUGCACAGAACAUAAAUAAAACAUCAGAUUUGU
rnacentral:misc_RNA from 1 species